rnacentral:lncRNA from 1 species
ACAGGAUGUCACAGACAGGGCUGGCACAGAUAGUGCUGGCACAGACAGGAGUGUCACAGGAGUGUCACACACAGGGCUGGCACAGACAGGGCUGGCACAGGCCUGUCACAGGGCUGGCACAGACAGGAGCUGGGGAUCAGCUGUGCCCCCCGUGCGACAGACAAAGCGUUGUUCUCUCUGCAGCUCCUCAGCAGCGCCUGCUGCCCCGCGCAAAGGGCACGCUGGCAGAGCGCUUUGGCAGGAGCAGGGCCGGCAGCUCUCUGAGCUCAGCUCUGAGCCGGGCCCAGCUCCCGCCCUGCGCGGGGCAGAACACACCUGUGCCCUCUGCCGCCGCUGCUGCUGCUGCGUGCCAGGCGCAGCCAGGGCUUCGCCCACAGCUUUGCAGGGCACUCACAAAGUGA